rnacentral:rRNA from 1 species
AACGCUGGCGGCGUGCUUAACACAUGCAAGUCGAACGCGAAAGGGACUUCGGUCCUGAGUAAAGUGGCGGCACGGGUGAGUAACGCGUAGAUAACCUGUCUUCAUGUCUGGAAUAAUACGCCGAAAGGGGUACUAAUACCGGAUAUUCUUGCUUUUCAUAAGUUAUGCAAGCAAAGGUGGCCUCUGCAUAUGCUACUGCAUGAAGAGGGGUCUGCGUACCAUUAGCUAGUAGGUGGGGUAAUGGCCUACCUAGGCGACGAUGGUUAGCGGGUCUGAGAGGAUGAUCCGCCACACUGGCACUGGAACACGGGCCAGACUCCUACGGGAGGCAGCAGUGAGGAAUAUUGCGCAAUGGGGGAAACCCUGACGCAGCGACGCCGCGUGAGUGAGGAAGGCCUUCGGGUCGUAAAGCUCUGUCAAGAGGAAAGAAGUGUACAAUGGCUAAUACCUGUUGUAUUUGACGGUACCUCUAAAGGAAGCACCGGCUAACUCCGUGCCAGCCGCCGC